AGCGAACGCUGGCGGUAUGCUUAACACAUGCAAGUCGAGCGCGAAAGUGACUUCGGUCAUGAGUAGAGCGGCGGACGGGUGAGUAACACGUGGAUAAUCUGCCUUUAGGACUGGGAUAACCCUGGGAAACUAGGGCUAAUACCGGAUAAGACCACAGGUUCCAUGGAACCAGGGGUAAAAGGCGGCCUUCGGGCUGUCGCCGAAAGAUGAGUCCGCGUCCCAUCAGGUAGUUGGUGAGGAACGGCUCACCAAGCCGAAGACGGGUAGCCGACCUUAGCGGGUGAUCGGCCACACGGGGACUGAGACACGGCCCCGACUCCUACGGGAGGCAGCAGUGGGGAAUCUUGGGCAAUGGGCGCAAGCCUGACCCAGCAAUACCGCGUGAGGGAUGAAGGCC
rnacentral:rRNA from 1 species